GAUCGAAUGGGGAGAUUCAUCGUCAGCUCAUUUUGUAUAUGUAUAGAGUUAUGAUGCAGGUUACUCUUGUAGUAUUGCUUGUACAUACUUGUACAUUUGUUUGCAAGGUGUUGUCGGCGUGCACUUCUCCCCUAGUAGAACGUCGCGACCCGUUGGGUGUUGGUCUAUGACCCAAGUGGUAGCCUUUAUUGUUUAACAACAUUAAUAUGACCCUUGGUGUUUUCUGACUGGCUGCCCGGCGGUACUCACACGGUAUUUAGCCGCAAUUUUAUGCGUCCAUAUCCGUCGCAAGCAGGGCUAAUUUCUGGCAGUACGGACCUAGUGCCGUCGUUGGAGUUAACCAUGCUGUUGGUUACGGUAUUUUAGGACUGGCUAAAAUUAUUACCGGUCGGCGAUGCUACUGCUUUGGGUACUUUCAGGACCCGUCUUGAAACCCGGACCAAGGAGUCUAACAUGUGCGCGAGUCAUUGGGAUUUUUAUUUAAAUUAAACCUAAGGGCGUAAUGAAAGUAAAGGUUGUCCUUGCGUCGACUGAGGGAGGAUAAGUUAUGUUAAGAUAUAGCUUCGCACUCCCGGGGCGUCUCAUUCUCAUUGCGAGAAG
rnacentral:rRNA from 1 species